GGAUGUGAGGGUGAUUGAAUUGUGACAUCUGUCACUUGCACUGAUCCCCACGGUUAAUCUGGCUGAUCUGGCUGGUUGGCGGGUGUCCCCUUCCUCCCUCACUGUUCCAUGUGCAUCCCUCCUGGAAGCUGUGUGCUCCAUGAAGGAGAAUGAUUCGUGGAUAGAGGAGGACCAUUCUCUGGUCAAGGGUAUAGGAGUAGUUGUGCUCCCUCUUGGAACCUCCAAACAAGCUCUCAAGGUCCAUUUGUAGGAGAACGUAGGGUAGUCAAUCUUCCAAGACUCCAGACACAUCCAAAUGAGGCCCUGUAUGUGGCAGUCUAAA
rnacentral:snRNA from 1 species